UACAGAGACUGCAAGCGUUAUUCGGAUUCACUGGGCGUAAAGGGUGCGCAGGCGGCCAAGUGUGUCAGGUGUGAAAUCCCGAGGCUUAACCUCGGAACUGCGCCUGAAACUACUUGGCUAGAGUACUGGAGAGGGUAACGGAAUUCACGGUGUAGCGGUGAAAUGCGUAGAUAUCUGGAGGAACACCGGUGGCGAAGGCGGCGUCCUGGACCAACACUGACACUGAUGAGCGAAAGCCAGGGGAGCAAACGGG
rnacentral:rRNA from 1 species